rnacentral:rRNA from 1 species
CAGCAGCCACGGUAAUACGAAGGGGGCUAGCGUUGUUCGGAUUUACUGGGCGUAAAGGGCGCGUAGGCGGACUGAUAAGUCAGGGGUGAAAUCCCAAGGCUCAACCUUGGAACUGCCUUUGAUACUGUUUGUCUUGAGUUCGAGAGAGGUAAGUGGAACUGCGAGUGUAGAGGUGAAAUUCGUAGAUAUUCGCAAGAACACCAGUGGCGAAGGCGGCUUGCUGGCUCGAAACUGACGCUGAGGCGCGAAAGCGUGGGGAGCAAACAGGAUUAGAUACCCCUGUAGUCCCUGUCUCUUAUAC